GUUCCGCGUGCCGCGCCGUGACCCGCUGCCGGGAGCUGUGAGGAGAGCGGGCCGAGCUCGGGAUCCGCGCCAUGGAUGCAGUGACCUAUGAGGAUGUGCAUAUGGACUUCUCUCAGGAAGAGUGGGCUUUGCUGGAUCCUUCUCAGAAGAGUCUCUACAAAGAUGUGAUGCUGGAAACCUACUGGAACCUCAGUGCUAUAGGCUACAAGUUAGAAGAGCAGAAUAUUGAAGAACAUUGUCAAAGUUCUAGAAGAUAUGAAAGGUAAAUUUCACGUGCAGACUGAUAAAAAUGCGUCACUGAAGAAAUUUUAAUGUGCCCUGAAGUUUUAAAGAAAAGCAACAGUGUAACUAAGCACAGUACAGCUUUGUGUAUGUUGAUGAUUAUUAAAUUCUCCCGAGACCAUGUACUUCAAUUUCAGGUAGCUGACCUGUGUUUGCAAGGCACUCAUCUAAGAAACAAGACAAGGAAACAAUAUCUUAACACAUGACACUAUUUUAGUCAGCCUGGAG